AAGCUGCAUUUCUCUCUGUCUGCAUUUGGGAUUUGUUCAUAGAGUCAGUGGAGAGAUUAAACCUCACCUACAGUCUAAGAAAUCAAGCACCGGCCAGAUAUUCUGAUAAAGACAAAAGGACCAUCCUCCUUAGAGCAGAAAUGAAUGAGCAGAAGGUGAUUUAUUCUGAGAUGAAAUUUCAGCCAUGUUCCAAAAAGCAGAAGAGAAAAUAUCUGGACAAACCUAAAAGCAAAGAAAGGAGCAAGAAAGAGAUGACCUAUGCAGAACUGAAAUGCCACAUUCCUGAACAGCAAGGACGACAAG